AUUGAACGCUGGCGGCAGGCCUAACACAUGCAAGUCGAACGAGUGGCGGACGGGUGAGUAAUGUCUGGGAAACUGCCUGAUGGAGGGGGCUAACUACUGGAAAAGGUAGCUAAUACCGCAUACCAUCAGAUGUUCACAGAUGGGAUUAGCUUGUUGGUGGGGUAACGUCUCAGCAAGGCGACGAUCCCUAGCUGGUCUGAGAGGGUGACGAGCCACGCGGGAGCGGAGGCACGGUCCAGACUCCGAAGGGAGGCAGCAGUGGGGAAUAUGGCACAAUGGGGGGAAGCCUGUUGGAGCAAUGCCGCGUGUAUGAAGAAGGCCUUCGGGUUGUAAAGUGCUUUCAGCGGGGAGGCGUUACCCGCAGAAGAAGCCCCGGCUAACUCCGUGCCAGCCGCCGCGGUAAUUC
rnacentral:rRNA from 1 species